CUGUGCGCUCGCCUUGAUGGUGGCGGCCGGCGGCUGCGUCGUCUCCGCCUUCAACCUGGAUACCCGAUUCCUGGUAGUGAAGGAGGCCGGGAACCCGGGCAGCCUCUUCGGCUACUCGGUCGCCCUCCAUCGGCAGACAGAGCGGCAGCAGCGCUACCUGCUGCUGGCUGGUGCCCCCCGGGAGCUCGCUGUGCCCGAUGGCUACACCAACCGGACUGGUGCUGUGUACCUGUGCCCACUCACUGCCCACAAGGAUGACUGUGAGCGGAUGAACAUCACAGUGAAAAGUGACCCUGGCCAUCACAUUAUUGAGGACAUGUGGCUUGGAGUGACUGUGGCCAGCCAGGGCCCUGCAGGCAGAGUUCUGGUAAGUGGGUGCUCAGUGUUGGCUCCUCCACUUCUGCCUGGCUGUCCCCUCACCUCCAGAGCUGGGAGAAAAGAAGAGGGCAGCAGGAGGGUCCAUGGCGCGUGUGUGCUGGGGCCUGCGCACAUGUCCCUUCCUGUGGCUGUGUGUCCCUUGCUCCCUGCACUCCUGGGGAGGGGGUGAGU
rnacentral:sRNA from 1 species